rnacentral:lncRNA from 1 species
GUGACUUUGCAGUUCCUCCCCUGUGGGGGAAGUGAAUUUCCUCCCUCCGUCUCCUUGACUCUGGGUGGGCUGUGUGACUUUUCCUUGCUCAAUAGAAUGAGAAGGAGGUGGCGCACCGGCUACAAGGCUAGACCGGGGGCUCGCAUAUCUCCACUUGCAGCUGCCACUGCCAUUAGAAGAACUUGCUCAGCCAGCUCCUGGGCCCCAGGAAAAGGACAAGUGUCACCCAGAACAGAGCCACCUCCAGCUGCACUCAGCUCCAGAAGCUGGCCCAGCCGGUCCAGUACACAAUGAUACUGAAAGCAUCUCAAAAAUAAAAUCACGAGUAUCUGCAGAUCACUAUGAGACUGGACUGGAACAUUACCUUCAGGUGUGUUGCUUCGCCUUUGGAGAAUGCCAUCUGCCAGAUAUGGGAUCAACCUCUUAAGUCUAACAUAGCAAAGAAUAUCCCCCAUACCAUUUUACUGAAGAAAAACAACAAACAGCAGUUCCUUCCGCCACACUGGGUCUUAGCACAUGCAGAGCUGUGGAGUCCUGUCUGUGCACAGAGACAGGCAUUGACAGGUGGAGUCAGCUUCUCCACCACUGACAUCUUUCCAAGUCAGUGCUGUGCUAUGUCUGCAAAUGAGAAAGGGGCAGCCUGGAUGAUGCUAUAAUUGGCAGUACCAACUCCAUGGAAAUAUUCAGAGGCUUCAGCUGUCAUUUUAAAACUGUCCUUCAGGUGGUGCCAUGUCAAAGGGAAGGGACCUGCACGACUGCCCAAGGUUCCAGAUACCUUAAGAGUUAAGCAGGGAUUGGAUGCUGGGGUUCCCGUGUUCAUUUGCCCCUUUAUUCAACUAGUGCUUACUAAGUGCUUAAUGCAUCCCAAAUUAUGGAAGGACCUGGGAACAUAUGUAAGACACUAUUCAUGCUUUCAAGUUGCUUGUAGUUUAGUCAAGGAGCCAGCUUAGCAUCUAAAACCAUGCAACCCCAAUUUCUAACCACCAGUCAACUCUCCAGUAAGCCUUCUUCAUGGUAAUGGCCUUUGGGAUGGUGGGGCCAUAACGUAGGGUUACUUGGGGAAAGCCAGCACCUUGCACACAUCUAUCCUGCCCUGUCCCUGAAAUCCCCCAGAUCCAUCCACACAUCACAAAUCUGCUGCUCCAUAAAGAAGAGCCUGACAUGGGCUUGUGGAGGAAGCAAUUGAUCAGAAAGAUGCUCUUGAUCUAAUUUUAUCUGUUUUUCUGCCAUUGCCUCUUUCCAAAUUCUUGCCCAUGUGGUUUUCUCUUGGUAAUCCAUGUGGCCCUGGUCCGGGGCCUCCAUAUCUCUUGUGACUUAAGUUUAGCUCACUCUCCCAAUUUUCAGAGUUUCCUGUCUUUUUCAGCUUGUGUUGAGAUAACAGCAACUUGAGUAUCUCCAGACGUUAAUACUUCCCAAUGGGUACCUGUCUUUGGGCUUUAUCUCUACUGUCUCUACUCUACAUAAUUUUAAUUGGGUCUAAUUUAGAAAUAUUUUCCUCUAUAUUUUUACUUUUUAUUUUUUAUGGCCUCUUGCUUUUUAAAAUUUAUGGUUAUGGCCUGUUUAAGAACUUCUCUACUUUUUACAUAUUUUCUCACAUUUUCACCUCUUUUACAAUUUUGCCUCUAUUUCAACUGGUAUUUAUUUUGGCGAAUGAUAGGAAUCAGGGUGGUAGAGUGCCUAUAACUUUUUUUCUUCUGCACAGAUUGGCAAUUAACUCAGGAUCAUUUCUGGAAUGAGCUAUCCUUUCUUCAAUGAUCUAAAAUGCCGUCUUUUUCAUUUUCUUAUUUCUUUUAUACAUACGGGUCUUCCAGUUCCGUUUCAUAGAUUACGGCCCUGUGGCUACGGCAAAGCAUAGUAACUUUAUCAUACAUUUUCACAUCUGUUAAGGCUAUUUUCCCCUCUUUGUGUUUUAGUUAGCACAUUUAUUUUAGUUAGUCAAGUUUUCCCCCAGAAGUAUGUUGGGAUUUUGAAUAGGAUUGCACUGAAUUUAUAGAUUGGUUGUAGGCAGGGUUAAUACCUUUGUAAUAUUGGGUUUUUCUUUCUGUAAAUGAUUUAGAUAUUUUAAUAUGACUACAUCACCCCCAGCCAUAUUAAUUCCUUUUACGGCCUUAUGUCCUUCCUAGCUCUAGUCAGUCCUUUACAUUGUGUUAUGAAUUUGUUCACUUGUUUAUUGUCUGUGUCUCCACCUAGAGUGAACACAAAAUUUCCAGAUUCUAGAUCAAUGUGUAGAACAUAGUAGGUGCUCGGGAAUUAUCGUUUUAUUGAUUGAAUGAAAUAACCUUGACUUCCUAAGGCCUAUAGCCCUCAGUUUGAGAAAUUCCUUUUUUUUUUUUUUUAACUUUCUUAUUUGCUGUUUGGUUCUUAUUCCAUUGACUGCUCACCCCACUGCCUCAUUACCCUUAGCAAGCUGAGAAAACUGGGUUAUCAAUUCACAUGUGUGCUUGCAGCCUUGUUUCACUUGGCUAUAACCCCUGUUGGCAUUCGUCAUCCAUCAUUUCCCUCCUGCCUUGGGUGUCCCAAAGCCGCACCUGCUGGUUUCCUCCACCUCGCCGCGGUGUCUUUUCAGCCUCCCUGAAGGCUGUUCUGCUUCUAUCCCGACCUCAAGCGAUGCAUCCUGGGGAGAGGUUCCUCCUUGGCUCUGUCCUUGGUAUCUCUCCCUCAGAAUUGCAUCAUUUCAAUUUCCACCAGAUACUGAUGACUCACAUUUUCUUUUUUGGGCUAAAUCUCAUGUUUGUUUGUUUGUUUUUUCCAGACACAUUGAUAUGACUACAUGCUGGACAUUUUCUUGCGGAAAUCCAAAAGAAAUCCCCAUUUUCUUGCAGAAAUCUAAAAUAAUCUCCCCUAUGUGCAAGUCAGACUGAGCACCACUCCCAAGACCAUGACCUCCCCUGCAGCCCUGCUCCUUCCCACUCACCUCUCCUCUUGAGAAAGCCACCUCCCACCACCCAGUCUGCAGUGCCAGAAAACUGGAAACCAGCCCCUAAGCUGCUUUCACCUUCGGCCCAUUUCUCACUAGCCAGCCUCUCCCACGGCCUCCCCAGUUUCUUCAAAUACACCCCCUCCACUAUUCACCAUACUGCCACCGUGAUUUAUUUACAACUUUUUGUCCGGAUUACCUCAGUAGCCUUCUAAUUGUCCCCUUUGCAUCUAAAGUAGCCCCUCUCAUCCCCCAAAUCUUACGUCACUCUUCUACAUAAUUCUGGCUUUCCAUGACCCAUAAACCACAUUUCUCAAGUGUGCUCUAUGCUGGCUUGAAUAUGUUAAUAAUCUUAAUUCUACUUUUAGUGCAAUUUUCUUAGAGCUGGCAUCACUUUCAUCAUGACGUGAGAACUUACUAGAGAUAGGCAAUGAUGACUCACAGUCAAGCCACAUGUCAUAUGCUGCAGACAUCUGGACUGCUGCUUAUUUGCAAAUCCUUUUCUUCAUAUUUUUCUCAUUUGUAGCACUGGAUCAAUUCCAAUUAAGAGUUUAAUAAUGAAUUAACUAAUGAUUUAAACAGGUGGAUAAGACUAACACUGAACCAAUGAUUUUAAGUAAAUCUAAAUACAUAAAUCCCCCCAAAUUAUUAAUCUAUGUUGUUUACUAAGAAGUGUAUUAAAAUGAUAUUGAAAAAGUUUGCUUUGGGAAAGAGCUAGAAGUUAGAAGGUCUAGGUUCAAAUCCCGCCUCUACUCCAUCCUUGACUAAGAUGUUGGACCCAUCACCUCAACUUUCCUUGGGUCUUUUUGCCCAGACAUGACCCGAUGACACAGAGCUUACCUGGACCUCCACAAUAGUAAAUAGAACAGGGCCAGCAAACCAAAAUUUGUUGAGUCCUUUAGAAUUAAGUAGCUUAGAUAAAUUUUCAUCAAAAUCUUUAUAUAGUAGGGAAUAGAAAAAAGUCAAUUCUGUUUUAUUUGAGGAUGUAUGAAUAUGUUACCAUUUUUCAGACUCUGAUUUACCUUCCAAUUAUUGUUUAUUGGGGUCAUUGUAAAUUAGUUAUCAUUUUUUGAAUACACAUUCACUGCUGACAAAGUGGUGAAGCCAGAAGUUAUGUUUGACCAGGGAAGAUUAUGACCCUCAAAGGAGAAAAAUUCACAGGGGGUAGUUGAUUAUUGGUGGAAUGGAGUGAGAGUGAAUUCCUUAAAAGUUUAAACGAAAGCAGAACUAUAUUCAUAUCAUGGAGGGAACUUAGUUUCUAAUAUGAUGAACUAUUGCCCCAAGUCAUGACAAUACCUUGCUCUCUGGAAGAGAAUGAGUGAGUUUUUCAUCCGCCAAGAUACACACUCUAUAUUUCCAACCAUCACAUCUGCCUUGCAGGCUGACUGAACCCAGAGCAAAUCAAUCACAAAAGUUAAUCCAAAAGACUUCCCUUCAGCUGCUGGAAAUCAGUCAUCACAUCUGUGAAAAGAGUGCUAGUUAUAACAAAUGAGAUCACAAAUUUGACCAUUUUAUUAGACACCCUCUAUUAGUGUUAACAGACAAAGAUGAAGGUUAAGUUGAAAUCAAAUUGAAAUCUUCUUCCCUCUGUACAGAUUGCAAUAUCUGAUAAUACCCUCAACUUUCUUGGUGCAAAUUAAUUGCCUGGUACUCACAGUCCAGUGUUAACAGGCAAUAAUGGUGUGAUUCCAGAGGAGAGUACUAGGUGGCAGGAAAAUAAAUGAGAUUAGCAGUAUUUGACUUGGAGCCAUAGGCAUCAAUUCUGCUCCAGCUGUCGACCAGGUUCUAAAAACAAGACUCGGAGCAGCUUUUGCUCUUGCUAGUGAUGCAGGGCCAGGAGAGCCCCCACACUCUGCAUUUGCAGGUGUCCAUGAGGGGAAGCCACUCCUGCAUUUAUCCUGUGAGUGGAGAAGCUCAGAGGAAUGAGGACAUUCCAACAGGGUAUCAGAAUUCUCUUUUGUUUAUGCUAAUUGACAGCAGGAACAUCACCAUCUUGGACAAACACCACCAUUUUAAGUUCUCUUUUAUUUAAAAACUGCCUAAAUCCAGCCCCAAAACAUCAGCCUAAUGGCUAUUGUCAGCAUAAUCAGAAACAUUCCAACCCUAAGAUAAACACCCCUCUGGCCAGAAAUAUGCCGACCCCGAGACAGCCUCCCCUCCGACCAGAGACAUUCCAAACCCGCAGUAAACUUUCCUUCACAUGGAAACAUUCCAAACCUACAAAAAGCUUCCCUCUUCCUAAACCCUUAAAUAUCCUUAGUCUGCAAGAGAGAAUGCUCCUGACUGAAAUCAGCCAGAAGCCCCUCUCAGGUUUAUUCUCCAAAAUAAACCUGUCUUUGACUGUUGAGCCACUUUUUGUGUUUCUUUCCUCUUUGUUUAACCCUUACACUAAUGUUAAAUUUACAUAACAUUGAGUACUUCAUGCUUUCCAGAGAAUAAGGAGAAUGCAC